AUUGUCCAAUUCAAAGUCCAACUCGUCAACUUGAAUGCCAACUCUAAGGAGGUUCUUGUCACUCCGCUUUCUUCCCAACACUAUAAUCUCCCCUCUCAGUGCAGUACUUAUUUCUACCUCCCUGUCUAGCUAUCACGUUGUGAUAUGGAAAGUCUAUUAGAGAAUUUCUUGGUCUCUACCAACUUGAGACCAAGUUGGUCUCUAGUAAGGGUAAGAAGGUAAUUCCGCAUAAAAGCUUUCCUUCUGUAAUAAUAGAGAAAAAGGAAUGUGGGCCCAAUUGUGUUCAGUAAAUUUGAAGUGUAAAAAUUGGAGAGAGAAAGCAUUUUGAGGGUUUUUGGCGAGGAGAUCAGAAAUUGUAAAGAACUCAAGAAUUUCCAUUCAAAAGAAAUCCCAUUCCGGAGAAUUGUAGCUCGUAGGGGACGAUCUGGAAGCAGCAUUGUCGAACACUUCUUGUUAUGGUGUCGGAGAGGUCCGGUGACUCCUCAAUAAGCUGCAGACGUAAUUGGGGGGGUAGCUUGAAAAAAAUCAUGAAAAAGGUACCUGCGACUUCUUCUAGCAAUCAAACGGAUAAGAGGAAAUUGAAAGCUGUAGUCGAGGAUGUAGUAGUUGAGGAUGCAGAAGAAGACCCUGAGGAUACAAAUGAGGUCAGUGAAGAACGUUCUGAGGAUGAUUAUAUUGGAGAAGAGGUCGAAGAAGAUGAUCCAGAGGAUGAGUUAGAAGGUGGUGAGUACGAGGAAGAGGUGGAGUACGUACAACGUACUCGUAGCGGGCGUAAGCGGAAAGUGGUUGAGCAAGAAAAUACUCUGGCCACUACUACUACUCGCAGCAGACCUGUUCAAAAACAGAAGAGGAUAAUUACAACGGUGAAGCGUCCGGCAGCAGCAAAGAGGCAAUUUGUAGAGAGGCCGCAGGGCGCAAUGGAGAGGCAAUAUGUGGAGAGGCCGGCAGCAGUAGAGAGGCAAUAUGUGGAGAGACCAGUACAAAGGCAAUAUGUGGAGAGGCCGCCACCAGUACAGAGGCAAUAUGUGGAUAGGCAGCCACCAGUACAGAGGCGACGAUUUGUAGUAGAACAAGAUGAUCAGAUUGAUCUGGAACCGGGACCAUCGGUCGGUGAGAAGGUGAAAAUGAACGGGGUUGUGGUUAGUACGCAGUUGAGGAUGUGUGGGAAGUCAGCAAAUUACAAUUGCCGUGUUUCUGCUUUUUGUGACCUGAUAAGUGUGUUGACAAUUGAGAAGGAUAAAAUUGACCUCGUGGAGAGGUGUGGGUUUGGCGGGUUGUUGAAGUUGAAAGUUAAAAAAAUUGAUCGCAGGUUUUGUUACUGGCUCAUGACGAGGGUAGAUCAUGAGAGGAGGAUAUUUGUUGGAGGUGAUGGGACGGAGUUGCCAUUAGGAACUGAGCAAUGGAGGUGUAUAUUUGAUCUUCCACGGGGUCCAAAACCUGUGCCGGAUACUGUUGAGGAUCCAGUCAUGCAGAGUAAAGUUGACGACAUUGUUAGGAAUUUUGGUGAGGUGAAUGCUAGUGGGCGAGAGAAUAUUUCGAUUCAAAGGGCGUAUGAUUGUUUAGGAUUGAUGCCAAUUGGAACAGAGGAGGAGAAGGACCAUUUUAUGAGGGCGUUUCUAAUAGUUGUGUUGGGGUGGAUUUUGUGUCCUACGACUAAUGGUCAGAGCAACUGCUGCUAGUGAGUAUGACUGGUGUUCUUGUGUGCACAGCUGGGUUGAUGGGUGCUGUGUGUGACUUUCACAAAAGGUUUGACCCUAAAGGGUAUGCUGCUGGUGGGGGUGGAUGUGGCCUAUUUCUAAUGAUUUUGUAUCUUGAUCAUCUUGCCUUGCCUCCACUGAGUUGGGGCAGACUGUCGAGAAUUGAUGUGUGGACUGAGAAGAAAAUUAGUGCAUCUAUUCAUGCGGACUUGUUGCCUUCUUUAGAUUAUGGAAAAUUGAAAUUGCUUGACGUAGCGUACGGGGAAAGCCAUCCAUGGGAGCCUAGGGACUCCGCGGAUUCAUUAGAAGUGAGGGUUGGAAAGGAGGUUCUGAAAAUGUUGAAGCCGU